GAUACGGUGGCCUAAUGGUUAGCGCGUUGGACUCUUGACCAGAUUGAGAGGUCCGGGUUCGAGCCCUGGCCAGGGUCA